CUCCAGGAGGCACUGAGGGAAAGGGAGACGGGCAGAAGGCCAAGCCUGAGCUUUAACGGGGAGAUAGACACAGCAUCCGAGGUGAGAUUUUUGCUCAAGACACUCACCAGGACGUAGAUUUCUCCAGGGGUCACACUGCUAUCCACUGUUCUCUACCAGGAAAGGGCUGAGUGGAACAUUCUUCCCUGCUGACCUGAACUGCAGCACCUCCAGUGGGUCUUCCUGCCUCUCUGCUCCUGGCCCCUUCUGACCUCCCUCCACAGGACGCCAGGUUCAUGUAUCCAACGACCAUAGUGAAGAUACAGGAGAUUUCCAUCCACACAAGGAUUCCUCAUGUUGCCCUUUUGUAACCAAUCCACCUCCCCCAACUCUCCCUCUGUAGCACAGCCCCUGGAAACCACUAAACCACUA